rnacentral:rRNA from 24 species
AAAUUGAAGAGUUUGAUCAUGGCUCAGAUUGAACGCUGGCGGCAGGCCUAACACAUGCAAGUCGAACGGUAACAGGAAGCAGCUUGCUGCUUUGCUGACGAGUGGCGGACGGGUGAGUAAUGUCUGGGAAACUGCCUGAUGGAGGGGGAUAACUACUGGAAACGGUAGCUAAUACCGCAUAACGUCGCAAGACCAAAGAGGGGGACCUUCGGGCCUCUUGCCAUCGGAUGUGCCCAGAUGGGAUUAGCUAGUAGGUGGGGUAACGGCUCACCUAGGCGACGAUCCCUAGCUGGUCUGAGAGGAUGACCAGCCACACUGGAACUGAGACACGGUCCAGACUCCUACGGGAGGCAGCAGUGGGGAAUAUUGCACAAUGGGCGCAAGCCUGAUGCAGCCAUGCCGCGUGUAUGAAGAAGGCCUUCGGGUUGUAAAGUACUUUCAGCGGGGAGGAAGGGAGUAAAGUUAAUACCUUUGCUCAUUGACGUUACCCGCAGAAGAAGCACCGGCUAACUCCGUGCCAGCAGCCGCGGUAAUACGGAGGGUGCAAGCGUUAAUCGGAAUUACUGGGCGUAAAGCGCACGCAGGCGGUUUGUUAAGUCAGAUGUGAAAUCCCCGGGCUCAACCUGGGAACUGCAUCUGAUACUGGCAAGCUUGAGUCUCGUAGAGGGGGGUAGAAUUCCAGGUGUAGCGGUGAAAUGCGUAGAGAUCUGGAGGAAUACCGGUGGCGAAGGCGGCCCCCUGGACGAAGACUGACGCUCAGGUGCGAAAGCGUGGGGAGCAAACAGGAUUAGAUACCCUGGUAGUCCACGCCGUAAACGAUGUCGACUUGGAGGUUGUGCCCUUGAGGCGUGGCUUCCGGAGCUAACGCGUUAAGUCGACCGCCUGGGGAGUACGGCCGCAAGGUUAAAACUCAAAUGAAUUGACGGGGGCCCGCACAAGCGGUGGAGCAUGUGGUUUAAUUCGAUGCAACGCGAAGAACCUUACCUGGUCUUGACAUCCACGGAAGUUUUCAGAGAUGAGAAUGUGCCUUCGGGAACCGUGAGACAGGUGCUGCAUGGCUGUCGUCAGCUCGUGUUGUGAAAUGUUGGGUUAAGUCCCGCAACGAGCGCAACCCUUAUCCUUUGUUGCCAGCGGUCCGGCCGGGAACUCAAAGGAGACUGCCAGUGAUAAACUGGAGGAAGGUGGGGAUGACGUCAAGUCAUCAUGGCCCUUACGACCAGGGCUACACACGUGCUACAAUGGCGCAUACAAAGAGAAGCGACCUCGCGAGAGCAAGCGGACCUCAUAAAGUGCGUCGUAGUCCGGAUUGGAGUCUGCAACUCGACUCCAUGAAGUCGGAAUCGCUAGUAAUCGUGGAUCAGAAUGCCACGGUGAAUACGUUCCCGGGCCUUGUACACACCGCCCGUCACACCAUGGGAGUGGGUUGCAAAAGAAGUAGGUAGCUUAACCUUCGGGAGGGCGCUUACCACUUUGUGAUUCAUGACUGGGGUGAAGUCGUAACAAGGUAACCGUAGGGGAACCUGCGGUUGGAUCACCUCCUUA